CUGGAAACCAGAUGCAGCUGCUAGGACAGCGCGGGAGGUGGCCGGCAGGGGCGGGGGCGGGCGCCCAGGUGAAACUUCCUCUGCCGCCAGUCGGGAGGAGCCCGGAGAGGGGGUCGGAGGCCGGAGUGUACCCUGCGGUGCCAGAAGGGAGAACGAGGAGACCCCAGACCAGCACGGACAUCCUGAGGCAGCCUGAGGGGUCUCUUAAGACCAAUCUCAAAUCCCAGCUGACCGAGGUGGU